AUGAAACACUCCUACGGGAGGCAGCAGUGGGGAAUUUUGGACAAUGGGCGCAAGCCUGAUCCAGCCAUGCCGCGUGAGUGAAGAAGGCCUUCGGGUUGUAAAGCUCUUUCGGCCGGGAAGAAAUCGUGUUCUCUAACAUAGGACAUGGAUGACGGUACCGGACUAAGAAGCACCGGCUAACUACGUGCCAGCAGCCGCGGUAAUACGUAGGGUGCGAGCGUUAAUCGGAAUUACCGGGCGUAAAGCGUGCGCAGGCGGUUGUGUAAGUCAGAUGUGAAAUCCCCGGGCUCAACCUGGGAAUUGCAUUUGAGACUGCACGGCUAGAGUGUGUCAGAGGGGGGUAGAAUUCCACGUGUAGCAGUGAAAUGCGUAGAUAUGUGGAGGAAUACCGAUGGCGAAGGCAGCCCCCUGGGAUAACACUGACGCUCAUGCACGAAAGCGUGGGGAGCAAACAGGAUUAGAAACCCUGGUAGUCCGAAGUUC
rnacentral:rRNA from 1 species